rnacentral:rRNA from 1 species
UACGUAGGGUCCGAGCGUUGUCCGGAAUUAUUGGGCGUAAAGGGCUCGUAGGCGGUUCGUCACGUCGGGAGUGAAAACUCGGGGCUUAACCCCGAGCCUGCUUCCGAUACGGGCAGACUAGAGGUAGGCAGGGGAGAGCGGAACUCCUGGUGUAGCGGUGGAAUGCGCAGAUAUCAGGAGGAACACCGGUGGCGAAGGCGGUUCUCUGGGCAUGUCCUGACGCUGAGGCGCGAAGGCUAGGGGGAGCAAACAGG